rnacentral:rRNA from 1 species
AAACAUCGCCUCUUGCCAAAAUUAUAAGAGGUCCAGCCUGCCCGGUGACAAAGUUUAACGGCCGCGGUACCCUAACCGUGCAAAGGUAGCAUAAUCACUUGUUCCUUAAAUAGGGACUAGUAUCAACGGCACCACGAGGGCCAUACUGUCUCCUCUCCUCAAUCAGUGAAACUGAUCUCCCCGUGAAGAAGCGGGGAUUAAACUAUAAGACGAGAAGACCCCAUGGAGCUUUAAGCAACAUCUUCAUCUCUUGUUUUUUUCAUCAACCUAAUAUAAAAUGAAUUGAAUUCUAGCUUUAGAUUGGGGAGAUCGCGGAGUACAAAUCAACCUCCACGACAAACGGACAGUGUCCUUAUCCAUGAACCACAUUUCUAAGAAUUAGCACACUAAUGUUUUUGACCCAUAUAUAUGAUCAACGAACCAAGUUACCCUGGGGAUAACAGCGCAAUCUACUUUAAGAGUCCAUAUCGACAAGUAGGUUUACGACCUCGAUGUUGGAUCAGGACAUCCCAGUGGUGCAGCCGCUACUAACGGUUCGUUUGUUCAACGAUUAAAGUCCUACGUGAUUGUUUUUAA